rnacentral:snoRNA from 1 species
UAGACCAAUGAUAAAAAUGUGUUAUGAGCCAAGAAUUAUGACUAAUAAGAUCUGUGGAUCUGAGGUUUAAA